CUAGUACUGAAAGCAUACGCUACAGCUAGCUAGCACUGUAGUGCAUAACAUGUGAAACACAAGUGUUCUCUCACGUUGGACCUCUGGGCAACAUCCUCUCCAGAAUCGCUUCUUUGUGUUUUUGUGUGGAUGCCCUCCAUCCUAUGACGAGAACGACGCCAAGCUCUUUGAGCAGAUUCUGAAGGCUGAAUAGGAGUUUGACUCUCCUUACUGGGGCCCUAUCUCCAACUCAGGUACGGUAGUCCUCCACUCUCAGAUGAAAGAGACAUAAAUCCAAGUCCAUUUCAAUAUAUAUUACAUUAUGUUGCCAGUAUUACUCCACUUUGUCAGUGAUUUCGUAUUAUUGGAAAUGGCUACCUGGGAUUGGUGUUUCUUUGAGCGUGUGCCAAACUGUCAGUGUGUGUAUGGGAUUAGCCAUUAUACACUGACUGGCCAAGGAACAGAUUCACUGUGUGUGAGAUCAUUACUUAGAGAGCACCAGGGAUCAUGGUACACAGAGAACUUAGAGACCUGCAGGACUGGUUAGAAGUCCAGCCAAUGCCAGGCUGGAGUCUGGCCAGUGUUUUUUUACUGCAGUGAAGCUCCUUGUUGG
ensembl:lncRNA